rnacentral:rRNA from 1 species
GACGAACGCUGGCGGCGUGCUUAACACAUGCAAGUCGAACGGAAAGGCCCUGCUUUUGUGGGGUGCUCGAGUGGCGAACGGGUGAGUAACACGUGAGUAACCUGCCCUUGACUUUGGGAUAACUUCAGGAAACUGGGGCUAAUACCGGAUAGGAGCUCCUGCUGCAUGGUGGGGGUUGGAAAGUUUCGGCGGUUGGGGAUGGACUCGCGGCUUAUCAGCUUGUUGGCGGGGUAGUGGCUUACCAAGGCUUUGACGGGUAGCCGGCCUGAGAGGGUGACCGGCCACAUUGGGACUGAGAUACGGCCCAGACUCCUACGGGAGGCAGCAGUGGGGAAUAUUGCGCAAUGGGCGGAAGCCUGAUGCAGCAACGCCGCGUGCGGGAUGACGGCCUUCGGGUUGUAAACCGCUUUCGCCUGUGACGAAGCGUGAGUGACGGUAAUGGGUAAAGAAGCACCGGCUAACUACGUG